UACGUAGGGGGCAAGCGUUGUCCGGAUUUAUUGGGCGUAAAGAGCGUGUAGGCGGCCAUUCAGGUCAGCUGUGAAAACUCGAGGCUCAACCUCGAGACGUCGGUUGAAACCGUUUGGCUAGAGUCCGGAAGAGGAGAGUGGAAUUCCCGGUGUAGCGGUGAAAUGCGCAGAUAUCGGGAAGAACACCCGUGGCGAAGGCGGCUCUCUGGGACGGUACUGACGCUGAGACGCGAAAGCGUGGGGAGCAAACAGGG
rnacentral:rRNA from 1 species